rnacentral:rRNA from 1 species
GACGAACGCUGGCGGCGUGCUUAACACAUGCAAGUCGAACGGAAAGGCCCUGCUUUUGUGGGGUGCUCGAGUGGCGAACGGGUGAGUAACACGUGAGUAACCUGCCCUUGACUUUGGGAUAACUUCAGGAAACUGGGGCUAAUACCGGAUAGGAGCUCCUGCUGCAUGGUGGGGGUGGGAAAGUUUCGGCGGUUGGGGAUGGACUCGCGGCUUAUCAGCUUGUUGGUGGGGUAGUGGCUUACCAAGGCUUUGACGGGUAGCCGGCCUGAGAGGGUGACCGGCCACAUGGGGACUGAGAUACGGCCCAGACUCCUACGGGAGGCAGCAGUGGGGAAUAUUGCACAAUGGGCGGAAGCCUGAUGCAGCAACGCCGCGUGCGGGAUGACGGCCUUCGGGUUGUAAACCGCUUUCGCCUGUGACGAAGCGUGAGUGACGGUAAUGGGUAAAGAAGCACCGGCUAACUACGU